rnacentral:rRNA from 1 species
UCAGGAUGAACGCUGGCGGCGUGCCUAACACAUGCAAGUCGAGCGAUUCUCUUCGGAGAAGAGCGGCGGACGGGUGAGUAACGCGUGGGUAACCUGCCCUGUACACACGGAUAACAUACCGAAAGGUAUGCUAAUACGGGAUAAUAUAUAAGAGUCGCAUGACUUUUAUAUCAAAGAUUUUUCGGUACAGGAUGGACCCGCGUCUGAUUAGCUUGUUGGCGGGGUAACGGCCCACCAAGGCGACGAUCAGUAGCCGACCUGAGAGGGUGAUCGGCCACAUUGGAACUGAGACACGGUCCAAACUCCUACGGGAGGCAGCAGUGGGGAAUAUUGCACAAUGGGCGCAAGCCUGAUGCAGCAACGCCGCGUGAGCGAUGAAGGCCUUCGGGUCGUAAAGCUCUGUCCUCAAGGAAGAUAAUGACGGUACUUGAGGAGGAAGCCCCGGCUAACUACGUGCCAGCAGCCGCGGUAAUACGUAGGGGGCUAGCGUUAUCCGGAUUUACUGGGCGUAAAGGGUGCGUAGGCGGUCUUUCAAGUCAAGAGUUAAAGGCUACGGCUCAACCGUAGUAAGCUCCUGAUACUGUCUGACUUGAGUGCAGGAGAGGAAAGUGGAAUUCCCAGUGUAGCGGUGAAAUGCGUAGAUAUUGGGAGGAACACCAGUAGCGAAGGCGGCUUUCUGGACUGUAACUGACGCUGAGGCACGAAAGCGUGGGGAGCAAACAAGAUUAGAUACCCUGGUAGUCCACGCUUGUAAACGAUGAGUACUAGGUGGCCGGAAGUUACCCCCCUUCGGUGCCGCAGCUAAC